GGUGGAUUUGACUGCCUGCGGAGAGCAGCAUGACAAGUGGUUACCAGGCUACACGUGUGGGUCCCUGCCACAUGUUCAAGGGUGGAGUGAUUUCCCCAGUCAUUGCACAGAACCUCUCACCUUUACCUUCUCACCCCAAGCCAAAGAUGACAGAGGAUGAAGUUAGGCGACACCUGAAAUUGUCACCGUUAACUGAAGACUGCCAUUUACUCUUGCACCUGCCACUCCUAGUUUCUGAUGGUAUAUUACCUCUCAACCCUGAACAAUGGCUUGGUUGCCCUCUAUAGAGUUAGGUGGUGGUAGUGGUGGUGAUGUAGGUGUACUUUUAAAUUUCCUUAACUGGACACAGGACACAAAGCUCCACCCCUUAGGCCACGUACUAAAAAUCGGAUUUAUAGAAAAUUCAGCACUGUCACCGCCGCGCUUAUGAGGAAGCUCCUCUCCUAGCCUAGUCAACUUCUCUUGUUUCUCUUUGGCAGCAGCUCUCGCUUCCACCUGACCUAUGAGACUAACAAAGACGACGUCUUCUCUCUGGCCUCUAAGCCUGGAGUGCUUCCGUUUGCUACUUGUUUAUUGGCUGUCUGUCUCCUCUCUCUGCAGGUGAAGAGUCACAGUUUGAGAUGGACAUUUAAGGGACCAGCCAUAGGACGCAGUGAUGCUUCUGGGCCCCUGGGGCCCUUGGGAGGAGAGCCACAGCAGUCAGGCCUUGUACCCGGCAGACACUGGGUGUGGAUCGGCCACCCAGUCCUGCUCCUCACUCAGGGCACCUGCUCUGCCUUCCAUUUUGUGAAUACCAGCACAUACCUCCUUGUGCCUCUGUUGAUACUGAGCUGCUACUCCAGGGUAAUGACUCUCACCUACACCCUCCCUGCAUCAAGCGCCAGCGAGUGGACACAGAGGAGUCUGUCGGAAUGAU
rnacentral:lncRNA from 1 species